rnacentral:rRNA from 1 species
AUUGAACGCUGGCGGCAGGCCUAACACAUGCAAGUCGAACGAGUGGCGGACGGGUGAGUAAUGUCUGGGAAACUGCCCGAUGGAGGGGGAUAACUACUGGAAACGGUAGCUAAUACCGCAUACCAUCGGAUGUGCCCAGAUGGGAUUAGCUUGUAGGUGAGGUAACGGCUCACCUCGGCGACGAUCCCUAGCUGGUCUGAGCGGAUGACCAGCAACACGUGACCUGAGACACGGUCCAGACUCUGAAGGUAGGCAGCAGGGGGUAAUAUUGCACAAUGGGCGCAAGCUGGAUGCAGCCAUGCCGCGGGUAGGAAGAAGGCCUUCGGGUGGUAAAUUAAUUUCAGCGGGUAGGCGUUACCCGCAGAAGACGCACCGGCUAACUCCGUGCCAGCGUCCGCGGUAAUAC